ensembl:lncRNA
UAGAUAUCUGAUUUAUUGGCAUAGAACAAGUCUGAUAUACAAUAUUGUACGGAAACUAGUGGUAUAGAUCUAGUGAUAUAGAUCAGCAGGACAAUGGGACUGGGACUUUCUGAAGGCACUGUACAAAGUAAGGGUAUUUAAAUUGUUGAAGUAUUGACGCAUAGUGACUCGAAGGAGUUCCGUUUCUGCAUUCAACUCUGUGGAUGAAGUCAUGGUGGAGUUGAGGUACAUGGCAAGGGAUGGGACAGGGACUGACUAAGGCUGGGGAUGGGACAGGGACUGACUAAGGCUGGGGAUGGGACUGACUAAGGCUGGGGAUGGGACAGGGACUGACCAAGGCAAGGGAUGGGACAGGGACUGACUAAGGCUGGGAAUGGGACAGGGACUGACUAAGGCUGGGGAUGGGACUGACUAAGGCUGGGGAUGGGACAGGGACUGACUAAGGCUGGGGAUGGGACUGACUAAGGCAAGGGAUGGGACAGGGACUGACUAAGGCUGGGGAUGGGACUGGGACUGACUAAGGCAAGGGAUGGGACAGGGACUGACUAAGGCUGGGGAUGGGACAGGGACUGACUAAGGCUGGGGAUGGGACAGGGACUGACUAAGGCUGGGGAUGGGACUGACUAAGGCUGGGGAUGGGACAGGGACUGACUAAGGCUGGGGAUGGGACAGGGUCUGACUAAGGCUGGGGAUGGGACAGGGUCUGACUAAGGCUGGGGAUGGGACAGGGUCUGACUAAGGCUGGGGAUGGGACAGGGACUGACUAAGGCUGGGGAUGGGACAGGGACUGACUAAGGCUGGGGAUGGGACAGGGACUGACUAAGGCUGGGGAUGGGACUGACUAAGGCGGGGGAUGUGACAGGGACUGACUAAGGCUGGGGAUGGGACAGGGACUGACUAAGGCUGGGGAUGGGACAGGGACUGACUAAGGCUGGGGAUGGGACAGGGACUGACUAAGGCUGGGGAUGGGACAGGGACUGACUAAGGCUGGGGAUGGGACUGACUAAGGCUGGGGAUGGGACAGGGAAUGACUAAGGCUGGGGAUGGGACAGGGACUGACUAAGGCUGGGGAUGGGACAGGGACUGACUAAGGCUGGGGAUGGGACUGACUAAGGCUGGGAGGGAGGGAAGGCUGGAUGGAUGGGAGGGAGGGAAGGCUGGAUGGAUGGGAGGGAGGGAAGGAAGGCUGGAUGGAUGGGAGGGAGGGAAGGUUGGAUGGAGAAUAAAGUAGAAUACUCUAUUACAGACAUGACAAUCAACCGCUUACAAUGGUGGAAAACCAUGUAACAAAAACAUUCAAAACUUUCAUGACUUACAAUACUUUACAAGGAACCAAUGUGCUACAGCUCUAACAAUAGAAUCACCCUGGGACUGAAGGGAUUGUCUUAAGACCAAUGUGCUACAGUUCUAACAAUAGAAUCACCCCGGGACUGAAGGGAUUGUCUUAAGACCAAUGUGCUACAGUUCUAACAAUAGAAUCACCCUGGGACUGAAGGGAUUGUCUUAAGACCAAUGUGCUACAGUUCUAACAAUAGAAUCACCCUGGGACUGAAGGGAUUGUCUUAAGACCAAUGUGCUACAGUUCUAACAAUAGAAUCACCCCGGGACUGAAGGGAUUGUCUUAAGACCAAUGUGCUACAGUUCUAACAAUAGAAUCACCCUGGGACUGAAGGGAUUGUCU